UACGUAGGGUGCGAGCGUUGUCCGGAAUUAUUGGGCGUAAAGAGCUCGUAGGCGGUUUGUCGCGUCGGCCGUGAAAUCUCCACGCUUAACGUGGAGCGUGCGGUCGAUACGGGCAGACUUGAGUUCGGUAGGGGAGACUGGAAUUCCUGGUGUAGCGGUGAAAUGCGCAGAUAUCAGGAGGAACGCCGAUGGCGAAGGCAGGUCUCUGGGCUGACACUGACGCUCAUGCACGAAAGCGUGGGGAGCAAACAGG
rnacentral:rRNA from 1 species